GUGCCAGCCGCCGCGGUAAAACGUAGGACACAAGCGUUAUCCGGAGUUACUGGGCGUAAAGGGCGUGUAGGCGGACGUGUAAGUCUAUUCUGAAAGCUCCUGGCUAAACUGGGAGAGGCGAAUGGAGACUGCAUAUCUAGAGUAGGGAAGAGGAAAGUGGAAUUCCGCGUGUAGUGGUGAAAUGCGUAGAGAUGCGGAGGAACACCAGUGGCGAAAGCGACUUUCUGGUCCCAAACUGACGCUGAGGCGCGAAAGCAUGGGGAGCGAACGGGAUUAGAAACCCUUGUAGUCC
rnacentral:rRNA from 1 species